AAGUCACAUGGCUUUAACAUCAAAGGAGUAAUCCACUUUGAGAUGGACCCGCGGCGCAUUAGCUAGUUGGAGAGGUAACGGCUCACCAACGGCGACGAUGCGUAGCCGACCUGAGAGGGUGAUCGGCCACAUUGGAACUGAGACACGGUCCAGACUCCUACGGGAGGCAGCAGUGGGGAAUCUUGCGCAAUGGGGGAAACCCUGACGCAGAAAAGCCGCGUGAAUGAUGAAGGCCUUCGGGUUGUAAAGUUCUGUCUUCUGGGACGAUAAUGAC
rnacentral:rRNA from 1 species